rnacentral:rRNA from 1 species
GUGUCAGCAGCCGCGGUAAUACGGAGGAUCCGAGCGUUAUCCGGAAUUAUUGGGUUUAAAGGGUGCGUAGGCGGCACGAUAAGUCAGGGGUGAAAUACAGCGGCUCAACCGUUGCAGUGCCUUUGAUACUGUUGUGCUUGAAUUCGGUCGAAGGCGGCGGAACGGGACAAGUAGCGGUGAAAUGCAUAGAUAUGUCCCAGAACCCCGAUUGCGAAGGCAGCUGCCUAGGCCGUUAUUGACGCUGAUUCACGAAAGCGUGGGGAUCGAACAGGAUUAGAAACCCUUGUAGUCC